CCUACGGGGGGCACCGGUGGGGAAUCUUCGGCAAUGGACGAAAGUCUGACCGAGCAACGCCGCGUGAGUGAAGAAGGUUGUCGGAUCGUAAAACUCUGUUGGUAGAGAAGAACGUUGGUGAGAGUGGAAAGCUCAUCAAGUGACGGUAACUACGCAGAAAGGGACGGCUAACUACGUGCCAGCAGCCGCGGUAAUACGUAGGUCCCGAGCGUUGUCCGGAUUUAUUGGGCGUAAAGCGAGCGCAGGUGGUUUAUUAAGUCUGGUGUAAAAGGCAGUGGCUCAACCAUUGUAUGCAUUGGAAACUGGUAGACUUGAGUGCAGGAGAGGAGAGUGGAAUUCCAUGUGUAGCGGUGAAAUGCGUAGAUAUAUGGAGGAACACCGGUGGCGAAAGCGGCUCUCUGGCCUGUAACUGACACUGAGGCUCGAAAGCGUGGGGAGCAAACAGGAUUAGAUACCCUUGUAGUC
rnacentral:rRNA from 1 species